rnacentral:rRNA from 1 species
ACCGGCGAACGGGUGCGUAACACGUGAGCAACCUGCCGAUUUGUGGGGGAUAGCCGGCCCAACGGCCGGGUAAUACCGCAUACGCUUUAGGGGAGACAUCUCUCUUUGAGGAAACCUCCGGGGCAGAUCGAGGGGCUCGCGGCCUAUCAGCUAGUUGGCGGGGUAAUGGCCCACCAAGGCUCUGACGGGUAGCUGGUCUGAGAGGAUGGCCAGCCACAUUGGGACUGAGAAACGGCCCAGACUCCUACGGGAGGCAGCAGUGGGGAAUCUUGCGCAAUGGCCGAAAGGCUGACGCAGCGACGCCGCGUGUGGGAGGACGCCCUUCGGGGUGUAAACCACUGUUGCCCGGGACGAACUUCCGGUUUCGACCGGAUUGACGGUACCGGGUGAGGAAGCACCGGCUAACUCCGUGCCAGCAGCCGCGGUAAUACGGAGGGUGCGAGCGUUGUCCGGAAUCACUGGGCGUAAAGGGCGCGUAGGCGGCGCGAGCAGUCGGCGGUGAAAGCCCGGAGCUCAACUCCGGGUCGGCCGUCGAUACUCUCGUGCUCGAGCACUGUAGAGGCAGGUGGAAUUCCGGGUGUAGCGGUGGAAUGCGUAGAGAUCCGGAAGAACACCGGUGGCGAAGGCGGCCUGCUGGGCAGUAGC